rnacentral:rRNA from 1 species
UACGGGGGGGGCAAGCGUUGUUCGGAAUUACUGGGCGUAAAGGGCUCGUAGGCGGCCAACUAAGUCAGACGUGAAAUCCCUCGGCUUAACCGGGGAACUGCGUCUGAUACUGGAUGGCUUGAGUUUGGGAGAGGGAUGCGGAAUUCCAGGUGUAGCGGUGAAAUGCGUAGAGAUUGGGAAGAACACCAGUGGCGAAGGCGGCUAUCUGGACGGUUUCUGACGCUAAGACGCGAAAGCGUGGGGAGCAAACAGG